rnacentral:rRNA from 1 species
ACGCUCGACACCUACGGGAAGCAGCAGUGGGGAAUAUUGCACAAUGGGGGAAACCCUGAUGCAGCGACGCCGCGUGAGCGAAGAAGUAUUUCGGUAUGUAAAGCUCUAUCAGCAGGGAAGAAACUGACGGUACCUGACUAAGAAGCACCGGCUAAAUACGUGUCAGCAGCCGCGGUAAUCUGAGCGGGCUGGCAAGGC